CGCCGUCGCCAGGGCUCCGGCCGGCGCGGCGCGCGGGGCUUGCCGGUUGCCGUGGCAGCGGCCGCGGCGCAGGGCGGCCCGGCCGGCUGUGGGGCCCCGCCGGGGGAGGUGGGGAGCGGGCCGCGGCCCUGGGCCCUCCGCCCGGCCCCGCCGUGCUGCUGCUGGGGGAGCCCGACCGCCCGCGAGGGGCGGCGGCGGGGCGCCGAGGCCUGAGCUGGCGUCCCGCUGUGCCGCAGGCUGCUCCCGGGGACGGCGGGCUGCUGAGUGGAGCCUGGCUUGGGUGGGCACAGUUGCCUUCUAUGGAGAUCCCGCCUGGUUUUACUGCUGCAGUGGCCGAGGGCGGUUCCCGGUCGGUCUGGAGUGACACCAGAUGUUGUUAACGGGGCUCCGAUUCACGGUGCUUUUGACCGCGAAACCGGACACGUCCUGAGUUUUGCCCUUGCCCCCUUCGGACACUGGAAGCUGCUCUAUGGUCUCCCCGGAGCCUUCUCUUAUCCAGCCUGAACAAGCCCAGCUCCCUCAGCCUGUCUUCACCAGGGAGCUGCUCCAGUUCCCUGAUCACCUUCAUGGCUUCUUCUGGACUUGCUCCAGCAGCUCCACGUCCUUCUUAUGUUGAGGACACCAGAACUGUACACAGUACUCCAAGUGAGGUCUCACGAGAGCAGAGUGGAGGGGCAGGAUCACCUCCUUCGACCUGCUGGUCACGCUUCUUUUGAUGCAGCCCGGGAUACAGUUGGCUUUCUGGGCUGCGAGUGCUUGGAAUGCAUCUAAAUGUUUGCAAAAUAAAGAGGUCUUCAGAAAAACCUCUGGCUGAAUGGUAUUUGCCCAGUUGGGAUGACCUGUUGAUUAGGUAGAGCUGGGCAAGAAUUUUCUGGCACCAUCUAUUUCUAGCAGAAAGGAAUUUCGACAGAGUCAAAUGUUAUGUUUUUAAAAAUCCGAUGUUGCAAUGUUUUCUUUAAAAUGUAACAAUGUUAACUGUCUUUUAGACUAUGUUUAUACUCUCAAAAUAAUCAAAUCUACCAGUGAGACAGAAAAAUCUAGCUCCUAACCGAACCUACAGUCCAGGAUUUCUGGACCGACAUAUUUUUCUACAGAACACUGAAAAUAGCCUAUUUACUGCAGAACACACUCUUUUCUUUAGCAUUUUCUUUUAUGUUCCUUAGCAUAAUGUUUACUGUUGCUUAACUUUUCGUUGUUAUUUGAAUAAAAAAAGUCUUCAUGAAACAAACAUAGAAACAAA
rnacentral:lncRNA from 1 species